UGUACACGGGAUGAUGACAUCACUGACGUCGGUUUUAUUCUGGAAAGCGUAGCCGGAGGGGGGGAGGUGUGCAGCCCCCCUAGUGGACGUCUCUGUCCCUGCAGGCGUCUCUCUGUGUGGGAUGUGUGAGUGAAGUCUCUCUCACCUCUUUGUGCUUCACGCUUCCCUCUGAAACUCUCGUGCAAUGAACUCAUUACUUCGGGCUUUCCUGUGAUGUGUUAAACCUCGAGCACAGAGUUAGUGCUUGUUGCUCCUCCGAGGUUUCCGUUCCACUCCAGAUCAUCAGCAGGUGCAGGCGGCGGCGUGGGGGAGGAGCCGCCGCGAUGCCAGGUGCUGUCGGAAGAUUAUAUGGCAGCACCUGAUUGGCUGAUGGCGUCACAGUCCUACACUGUUGGUAGAAAACAACCUGUCGGCGCCCACUGCUCUCACCCUCAGCCCCCAGGAGGCGCUCAGGCCUCUGCUCAGUGGCUUGAUGUCUGAUAAUGAUACAUUAAUACGUGCAUAUGUUUCUUUGUGACGUCGAGCCGGAGGCGACACGUUCUCGGGGUCGUCCGUUCUCUGGAAUGAAAUAUCUCUCUCAGGGAAUUCUCCUUUUAAGCACCAAGCUUUUUGUAGGCCUCUGCUCCGAAAAGUGCAUACCCACUAAAAAGGUUGUAUCGCCGCAACCACGAGGGCUAUUUUAAUAUUUUUUACAUUUUUAAACAUGUCUUUCUUUUGUCCUCCAGGUAGAGGCUCUCUGCAGCUCUCUCCUCCAUGAGGCUCUCUGCAGCUCUGUCCUCCAGGUAGAGGCUCUCUGCAGCUCUGUCCUCCAGGUAGAGGCUCUCUGCAGCUCUGUCCUCCAGGUAGAGGCUCUCUGCAGCUCUCUCCUCCAUGAGGCUCUCUGCAGCUCUGUCCUCCAGGUAGAGGGUGAGAGUGACUCACAGGAGUCAAACAAAGGGAAUAGUUGACGUUCCUCUCUUUUGGGCUCCUGUCAUCCUGCUGCUCUGCUGGAUGUUCUGGAUGUGGCCCCCAGCGCGAGGAGCCCGUCUCCGUGUUCUCCUCCUGUCGGCACAUUGCAGCGUCAAGCUUCAAAGUGACGCUCUGUUAAAAAAAAAAAAAAAUUUCACACGCAGAAAAAGACACAGAACCAAACUUCUCUGGCGGAACACGAUGUUCUCACAGAGGAGGAGGAGGAAGAGGAGAAUCUGUGUCACGUCGUAUCGUCGCCCAUCCAGAGGACCUGGAUGGCUCGUUGCUGAUUCCUCGACAAGCCAGCCGGCAGCAAGACACACACACACACACACACACACACACACGCACGCACACACACGGCUGACAGUAUCUUUGCUCUAAUCAGCAUCUUAAUUAGUCUGCUAGCAGCGCUCCAUUAACACACAUAUCACUGCUAAUUAAGCGGACACACACACACACACACACACACUGAGAGGAAGAGAGACAUUAGAGAUGCUUCUUCAAGUCUUAUCAAAUAAAUAAAUUUACAAAGCAGAAUAACAAAAGUGAAGUUUAAUCCGUCGACCUCGUUCUUCUCUCAGCAAAGAACAGCAGAACAAGCUCCGCCCCUCGAUGAUCCACGCUUUGCAUUUUAUUAUUAUAGGAAUUAAUUUUUCCUUCCGUACUUUCUACCAAUCAUCUAAAAAGGUUUCUUAUUUAAAUGAUCCGACUCACUCUGCGCCGCAUGCCUUGUUUCAUUUCAUAUUCCCACCUUCAUGUAAUUAAACGGAACUAUAGUUUCCCACAUGGACCAGUAUUCAUAACAAACACGCUACAUGCGUGUGUGAGUUCUGCUUCGUAUGUCAAUAGCCUCUCAUCACAUUUAUGUCACGGUUGUCGUAGCGACAGCGAGGACCCAAAUGCCGACAACUUGUUCCAAACCGAUAUUUAAUUCUGAAUUACAGGUAACGCAGGACGACGAGCCACGCGGUACGACGCCUCACCCGGGAAAGAGAGAACGGGGUCUACACACGGGCAGGUGGAGGUGAUUGGACAACGGGGAACGAGACACAGGUGGACACAAUGAGGGCGGGGCCAGCACUCACACAGGAGGAACCAAUCAGGACCAGGGCAGACGACCACAGCGAGACAGGUGACACAAGGACUUCAAAAUAAGACUCACAACAAGACAGAAACUCCAGAUCCUGACAAUUUAACAAUCUAAUCCCCGGGCACUAGGACCUGGGGGAGGCUGAUGCGCUGGCUGAAGCCUCAAACUACGAGGCUGCAGGUUCCCCCUCAGCUGAGUGAGGGGCGACCCAACGUCAUGAGAACACAGGUGUGUUCACGUUGACUCACACAUCGAGCUCACCUCACACACCACGCUGACCCCCUGCUGUGAGGCCGUGAUGUCACACCCCCUGAGGUCACGUGACCUGCGUCCCAAACUCACGCCGUAUCGUUUACCUACUGGCGUAUUCUCUCUCUGAUGAAGGCCACGUUCCAAUGUAAUAUUUCCUCAGCGGUCGUUCUUUAUAUGACGAGUGUCUCGCAGUGUGACCGGACGGGCUGUGCUGGCGCUGCUGUGUUGGCGCCGGACCGGCUGGCUGCUUGUCGGUGCUGGUUACCUUCUGCCCCCAAUGGAUGGGCUUAGAUCACCCAGUUGUUGGAUUACCUCGCCCCCCCUUCCCACUCGUUGCAA